GUUUAUUGUUGAAUUGUUGAUUGUUGAUCAGAAGGGUUUCUCUUAAGAGUUGAAU
rnacentral:tRNA from 1 species